rnacentral:lncRNA from 1 species
AAGCUUGACCUACUACGCCCCGUCAGUCGCAAACAUGGGGCUGUUCGUCCUUACCCAAGGUCAGUGCAUGGCUUACUAGUGGAUUUCGUCUUCUUAAUUUUUGUUUCCCAUUUGCAUCGCUGUUUUUUAUAUAUAUCAUAUAAUAUAAAAUAUUUAUCUUGCUAUGUUGAUUGUGUAGCUUUGGCUUCAUUCAUUAAUUCUCUGUAGGUCUGGAAGGUUUUGGGAAAGAUUAAUUUGACUUGUUUUGUAUAUCUUUCUUCUCUGUCCAGCUUGCCCAUGGUUGAGAAUGCAUCAACGACGGUAAAUCAGGGGGAAGAUAGAUCUUUGUUUUUAAUGGUAACUUUUAUUAGGGGCAAAUACACUAAUGCCAUAUAUGAAGUUAAAUUCAGAUUUGGAGGAGAAGUUGACGAUAUAGGUGCACGAGUAGCACGUGUAGCCAAGUUCAGUGGUUCUACCCAUUUGGGUGCAAGGAUUUUCGACCGCUCCCAACUAUAUGUGUUUUCAAGGGAGGGUUGGGAUAAACCUUGCGUUAAGUCAUUUGGAGGGUAUAUCUUUGAUACGAAAACAAGGGCAUUGGAUCACUUAACACCUUCUACCGUACAGUUUAAGCAGCAUGGAACAGUUGUGUCGGCAUAUGGCACACUUUAUUUUCUUGAAGCCAAAACGGACUUCGUACAAGGUUCAGCCUUAUUCUUUGGGAAAUACAACCCUGAUAAGAAGGAUUGGGUGCAAAUGCCUUCGUUUCCAUUUUCUCAUAGUUUUCGUAUGGGGGUAACUGGUUAUGUCGUUGGUUUUGGCGUUAUUUUGUAUACAUUGUCUGACUUGCACAGAAACUUUGAUGUCCUUGCUUUUCAUGUGGGUAGAAAGAAUUGGAAACGAGUGGAAAUUGGCACUUGUACUCCUUUCCGAGGGAGGGCCGUGAUUAUAGGCAAGACUAUCUAUGCCUUACAUAUGUUUCAGGUGGGGGCGAUCAUAGCAUACUCCUUGGAGAUUAAGGAAGAUGAUGAGGGUGGUAUUGAAUAUUCACUAGUCCAGCUAUCUGAAUUAAACGGCCUUGACAUUGCAGAUCCGCCAUCACAAUUUGAUGGACUUGUAACCGACUAUUUGGUUCACGUGGGAAACCAAGACUUCGUUCAUUUUAAGACUGGCACUAACGAAGAAUGUGAUAAGGUUCAAGAUCUUUGUAUCACCAGGUUUCAAAUUGUACAAGAAGGAAGGAGACAUAUGAUCGAGACCUUACAUUCAACUGUUCUUCCUGUGAAAAUCGAUGUUUGUAAUUGGUUCACCCUUACGCUCGGCUUUACUCCGUAAGUUUUCUUCACAUUCCUCUUGUUUUCAUCAAUAACAUUAAUUUGUACGUUGGAUUUUGUUGUUUAUGAUGAUUACAACUCUCAGAAAGUGCGGAGAUUAUGAACCCGAAGAAGGUAAGAGUGCAGCAAGCAUGAAGCAGCCAAAACAAGAAGAUGACACCUCGUUGGAUGAGAAUUCUUUGAUGCAUGAGGUAAAAGAAAUGUGUUUACAUGAAAUUGAUUUUGUUUUUUCUUUAAUGUCCAUGAAUCAAGAGACUCAAUUGGUUGCCUGUCAAUAAGUGUUUUUAUUAGCAUUUGGAUCUAGUUUCUCACAUAAUAUAAUUGGGUUUUGCAGGAAGAAGCCAAACAUGAAGUAGCCUUAAUGCAUCAUGAAAAAGCAAACCAGAAAAAACCCAAGAAUGCAAGCGGAAUAAUUAAAAACAAAAGAAAAAGAAAAAGUGGAUGGACGGAGGGAUUACAUGUAACCAAAAAGAAGAAGGUGGG